rnacentral:lncRNA from 1 species
UCCAACUUACUCGCCCACCAGUCCAUCAUACUCGCCCACAUCUCCAAGUUACAGCCCAACAUCUCCUAGCUACAGUCCUACAUCACCAAGCUACAGCCCUACAUCUCCUAGCUAUAGUCCUACAUCACCAAGCUACAGCCCCACCUCGCCGGUUUAUAGUCCAACCUCGCCGGCAUAUAGCCCUACCUCUCCUGCAUACAGCCCCACAUCCCCCUCUUAUAGCCCAACAUCCCCGUCUUACAGCCCUACGUCGCCUUCAUACAGCCCUACAUCUCCUUCAUACAGCCCUACAUCCCCAUCAUACAGUCCUACCUCCCCCUCGUACAGCCCAACAUCACCUGCAUACAGCCCUACCUCGCCUGGAUACAGCCCAACAUCACCAAGUUACAGCCCGACAUCUCCGAGCUACAGUCCUACUUCUCCGAGCUACAAUCCUUCAUCAGCCAAAUACAGCCCUUCGCAUGCUUACUCUCCAAGCAGUCCAAGGAUGACUCCAUACAGUCAGACCUCUCCGAACUACAG